GGGGGUGAACUGGCUUCGACCUGGGUGAAGAACCUUCUGGGAGAAGCGGGCCGAGGUUCCGGAUGCCUCGUUAAAAGCCGGAAACCAACAAACGCCAACAAGUCAGAACUGGCGUUCGCUGCCUAAGAACUAGGUAGCCGUCCUCCGCGGGACGCCUGCGCCCGCGGGUCGGGCGUCGUGAGCAGGCUCACGGCGAUGGUUUGGCCUGGUGGCCGUCGUCGGACACCGAAGCCGGGCUGGCCGCGAGGUCCUCCGCCGGUCGGAGCCUCGCGGUAAGACGAAUCGGCCGGCUACGCCCGUAGAAGACCCAGGUGGUCGCUCAGGGACGCGGGUUCGAAUCCCGCCACCUCCAA
rnacentral:tmRNA from 1 species